UCAUAAUAAGAUAACCUGGAGUCAUGGAGCAGAGAUCUAAAGCAACCUUAUUUUUCCAGGAAGCAGCGUGUUGACCUUUCAGGAUUUCGUCUAUUUUAUUGAAUGCAAAUCUACAGAGACUGAGGACAGACAACUGCCUUGAGCUUGGAGAAGAAGUGGAGCCUAACGAUAAUAUGUACAUCAUGAGAAACGCUGGGCUGGAAGAAACACAAGCUGGAAUCAAGAUUGCUGGGAGAAAUAUCAGUAACCUCAGAUAUGCAGAUGACACCACCCUUAUGGCAGAAAGUGAAGAGGAACUAAACAGCCUCUUCAUGAACGUAAAAGAGGAGAGUGAAAAAGUUGGCUUAAAGCUCAACAUUCAGAAAACGAAGAUCAUGGCAUCUGGUCCCAUCACAUCAUAGGAAAUAGAUGGGGAGACAGUGGAAACAGUGUCAGACUUUAUUUUUCUGGGCUCCAAAAUCACUGCAGAUGGUGAUUGCAGCCAUGAAAUUAAAAGACGCUUACUCCUUGGAAGGAAAGUUAUGACCAACCU